rnacentral:rRNA from 3 species
ACGCUGGCGGCAGGCCUAACACAUGCAAGUCGAGCGGAAACGACUUAACUGAACCUUCGGGGAACGUUAAGGGCGUCGAGCGGCGGACGGGUGAGUAAUGCCUGGGAAUAUGCCUUAGUGUGGGGGAUAACUAUUGGAAACGAUAGCUAAUACCGCAUAAUGUCUUCGGACCAAAGAGGGGGACCUUCGGGCCUCUCGCGCUAAGAUUAGCCCAGGUGAGAUUAGCUAGUUGGUGAGGUAAGAGCUCACCAAGGCGACGAUCUCUAGCUGGUCUGAGAGGAUGAUCAGCCACACUGGAACUGAGACACGGUCCAGACUCCUACGGGAGGCAGCAGUGGGGAAUAUUGCACAAUGGGCGAAAGCCUGAUGCAGCCAUGCCGCGUGUAUGAAGAAGGCCUUCGGGUUGUAAAGUACUUUCAGUAGGGAGGAAGGUGUUGUAGUUAAUAGCUGCAGCAUUUGACGUUACCUACAGAAGAAGCACCGGCUAACUCCGUGCCAGCAGCCGCGGUAAUACGGAGGGUGCGAGCGUUAAUCGGAAUUACUGGGCGUAAAGCGCAUGCAGGUGGUUCAUUAAGUCAGAUGUGAAAGCCCGGGGCUCAACCUCGGAACCGCAUUUGAAACUGGUGAACUAGAGUGCUGUAGAGGGGGGUAGAAUUUCAGGUGUAGCGGUGAAAUGCGUAGAGAUCUGAAGGAAUACCAGUGGCGAAGGCGGCCCCCUGGACA